UUUAUGGGCAGUCAUCAGUCCCCCGGCUAACAGCUGCAAUAUCCAUAUCUUCUUAUUUGUGGAUUUCGAAAACAGACAGGCUUUUCCCACAGUGUGAGUGUGGGAUUUUCUGCCCUUUCUUCUCCUUCAAGCCUACCCUUUCCCGUUCUCUUUUCACUCUCAAGGGGGUAACACAAGCAUUAACGAUGAUGAAAGGGACUCCUAACAUCCAUGGGAAAUAUGUGAAAGUCAAGUGAAGUUAUCAUUUCCCCUCAACUCAAAGGAACACCUAAAAGUAUUAGAAGAUUUUACAGUAUUCCACAUUCAAGACAGACUGAACUCAUUGAUGGCAAAAUUGGAGCAUCAGCCAUCAAGCCUUGACCAUGGGUCAGUUCAAAUUUCAGAAAAGAGAUCAUUUUCGGAUUUCUGUCAAAAGCACAGGUUUUGAACUGGAUGACACCUUCUGCCCCACUCAUGAUUUUUCCAGGAGGUAAUAAAGAGCUUAUUGGUAGUUUCAUCAGAAGAUCCAACUUGAAGAACCCUCUACGUUUUUUUCUUCUUGCAGUGAUUGGGAUAUCAAGGUUAGCCCAGAAUUUUGCAUGAAUAAAAAGAAAAUCUUCUUGUA